UGCAACAACAGCUACUUCUACACACAACAAAAUGAGAGAAAAUACAAAAUACAACAAAAAAGAGGCAGUCAAAGCAGUCAACAGUCAUUGGCCCAUGGGUAAUUUCAAAUGCAAACAUUUUGCUCCUACUCGGCAUUGGACAACGACUUCCUUUUUGGACGCCGGACGGCUCGUUGCACAGCUGCUGUGGCAGCCGGGAAACCCAGGGAAAGCCAAGUGAGAAUUGUUUGGGUUGGUAGAAAAGCCAGCAAGAUGAAACGAGGGAAAGAGAUGUAAUGAAAAUGUAAGCAAGGGGAUAUAUGGACUAUCAGCGACAACAAAGCGUGGAAACGUGGAAAAUUGAAAAAUGUGAAAAGGCAACCCCCACCGGCCCCCUUCUCAUCCCGUGGCAACGCCACAGCAGAGGAAAAUUGUGCGAGAGCAUGGCCAAAAGCAAACAACAUUUGAAAAAUAUUACGAGUAUUUGCAUAUGAAACAGAAGGGACGGAGGGGAGGCAGGCAUGGCGGCGGCACGCAGGGGAGACGGUGGAACGGUGGCAGACAGACGGGGGCAAGGGGCAGAGGCAGAGGACACACUGUACACCCGCUGGCGCUCUGCAAAAAGUGGAAGCUGGGAGACCAGGAGGCGAAUGCGAUCCCAGCUCAGAGCUCAUCGUGUGGCAAAAAGCGUAAAUGAAAAUGUAAAUUCGCUUUAAGCGCGUGCCACGAAUCAGACCUUUAUAUAGUAUAUACAAGAUGAAUAUAUAAACAUUUUCUAAAGUGAGAGAGACAGCAAGAUAGAGAGAGAGAGAUAGACAGAAAGCAGUGGAGAGCAGGAAAUGGAGAUAUAAAGAGAGGGGUAGAACUAUUGUUUGCAGUAACAAUUUGAUCGUCAAGAGUCAAUGCCAAAUACGCAAUAAAUCGCAUUGGAACAGUGGAACAAACUGAACAAUAACCAAACAAAAUAAAUCUUAGACAUGGACAGUAAAAUCUUAAAAACAAAAUCAAAAUUGUUUUGCAAUUGCAAUGUGAAUAUAAUAAUAUUAAUAGAAAGUGGAGCAUCAAUGUGUCGCAUCAUGUGGUAGAAAUGGAAGCAGUUGGGAGUGAGUUAAUCGCAUCUUUUAUAGUUUUUCAGCAGAAAGCAUUAACAAAAAUCCCCAUAAAAUUAAAAUUGAAUUUCCAAAACUGUUUUCAUUUCAAUAAUCAUGUUCAGCAUUUUCGAGUUCUCAGAACCACAGCCGAUUGUCGUCAAUCCGUCCCGCACACCAUCAUUCUGUUCUCUCUUGGAGAUUUCCCAGCUCAGGCGUUGAGUAGUCACUUAUAAAUUUAUUUAUCACUUGAGCCGGUGGAUUUGGGAAUGAUUGCCGCCGCUCUCUCUGAGUCAGCAAUCGGAAAUGUGAUACCACAAAAACGGAAAGCAAAACUACGUGACAGACUCACCAUUUGGCGGGGGGGACAGAGGCACAAAAUGUGAUUAAACUUAAAAUUUAAAUAUGACAAAUAAGCAUAAUUUAAUGCACCAUACACAUGAUUGCUUCUGCCACUGCCACAGCCGCUGCUUCUGCUGCUGCCUGGUUAUCAACAAUUAAAGCCUCAAAAACAUGAAUAAUGCAAACACAAUGUUUUUCAUCGUUUGACUAAAAUAUUAAUGCGCAAAACACUGGGACGAGCGACAACCGCAAUUCCGUGACAUAAUUGAAAAUAUUUCAUGAUUUUUGCAUUCUCACAGCCGAAAUACAAAUACAUAUACAAAUUUUUAUACAUUUACGAAA